UCCCUGGUGGCUCAGACAGUAAAGAGUCUGCCUGCAAUGCAGGAGAUCUGAGUUCAAGCCCUGGCUUGGGAA
rnacentral:tRNA from 1 species